rnacentral:rRNA from 1 species
CACGUAGGGGGCGAGCGUUGUCCGGAAUUAUUGGGCGUAAAGGGCUCGUAGGCGGUUUGUCGCGUCGGGAGUGAAAACACUGGGCUUAACCGAGUGCUUGCUUUCGAUACGGGCAGACUUGAGGCAUUGAGGGGAGAACGGAAUUCCUGGUGUAGCGGUGAAAUGCGCAGAUAUCAGGAGGAACACCGGUGGCGAAGGCGGUUCUCUGGCAAUGUUCUGACGCUGAGGAGCGAAAGUGUGGGGAGCGAACAGG